rnacentral:rRNA from 1 species
UACGGAGGGUGAAAGCGUUAAUCGGAAUUACUGGGCGUAAAGGGUGCGUAGGCGGUUGUUUAAGUCUGUUGUGAAAUCCCCGGGCUCAACCUGGGAAUGGCAAUGGAUACUGGGCAGCUAGAGUGUGUCAGAGGAUGGUGGAAUUCCCGGUGUAGCGGUGAAAUGCGUAGAGAUCGGGAGGAACAUCAGUGGCGAAGGCGGCCAUCUGGGACAACACUGACGCUGAAGCACGAAAGCGUGGGGAGCAAACAGG